AAUUGUUUAUUUGCUUUCGGACUUCCCCUUUGAGCAGUCGCUGAAAGCUGCAUAAAAAUGAGCUGCAGUAGAAAUUUUUCCUCUCUGGAAAGUUGUGUUUUGAUUAAAUUUGGCGUAAAUGCACAGGAUGUGAUUUUCAGUCUUUGAUGAAGUUGCUGGAAAAACAUCUGUUUGAUUGAUUUUGGACCGCGCAAUAUGGGCAACGUGUUAUCUAAAUUUUACCUAUGAAACUGAAGGGGUCAGUUUGAAUUCCACAACGGAUAUAUAAAAUCUGUGAGCAUUUUUAAGGCAUACGGAGUCGAAAGGAAUGCCAAUUUUACAAGGCAUAUCCAAGAGUUACGGUGGAUAUAAAAGUUGACAAAUGCUGGACAACAUGUAUAGGCAUGCUAUAAGAGAAAUUCAGAAGCCAUGAAGGAUGUGUGGAUGUCCAUAAUCUUUGUAUGGAUAAUAUUGCCUAUACUAAGAAACAUGCUCUUAGAACUAUGAACAGACCCGAAAUAAAGGAAUUUCAUUAAUCUAAA